GUAUGUGAGGGCAAUCUUGCUGUGAUAUCUGUCACCCCAUUGAUUGGGCUGAUCUGGAUAGCUAGGCUGUGUCCCCUUCUUCCCUCAUGGCUCCAUGUGUGUUCUUCCCAAAGCUGCAUGCUCAGUCACAGAGGACAACAAUCUCUGAUAGAUGAGGACCAUUCUUUGGUCAAGGGUAUACGAGUAGCAGUGCUCCUGUGCUAGAACCUCCAAAAGAGCUCUCAAGAGGUGACAUAAUGUUGGAGGAAGUUAGGUCACUAAGAUGUGUCCUUGAAGGGGAUAUUGGAAACACAGCCCCUUCUUG
rnacentral:snRNA from 1 species